rnacentral:rRNA from 2 species
UGGGGAAUAUUGGACAAUGGGCGAAAGCCUGAUCCAGCAAUGCCGCGUGAGUGAUGAAGGCCCUAGGGUUGUAAAGCUCUUUUACCCGGGAUGAUAAUGACAGUACCGGGAGAAUAAGCUCCGGCUAACUUCGUGCCAGCAGCCGCGGUAAUACGAGGGGAGCUAGCGUUGUUCGGAAUUACUGGGCGUAAAGCGCGCGUAGGCGGCUUUUUAAGUCAGAGGUGAAAGCCCGGGGCUCAACCCCGGAAUUGCCUUUGAAACUGGAAAGCUAGAAUCUUGGAGAGGUCAGUGGAAUUCCGAGUGUAGAGGUGAAAUUCGUAGAUAUUCGGAAGAACACCAGUGGCGAAGGCGACUGACUGGACAAGUAUUGACGCUGAGGUGCGAAAGCGUGGGGAGCAAACA